rnacentral:rRNA from 1 species
UUCUUUAUUUGGGUUUGUUUUGGGUGUCCGUCGGUCUAGGUCGGCGGGGUGUGGGGGGUAAGGGGAGGGGUUCGGGCGUGGGUCUGCUUUAGGGAGCGAUCCCAAAAUGAGGGCGCGGCGGCAGGGCUUUAGGGGGGGCCUUCCGCUGGUACAGGCCGCCAGGGCGCCGCCAGAGCAAGGAGUGGUUGUAGCGGUUCCGCCGCCGACCGGAGCCGCGGCGCCGGAGGGAGGAGAGCCGCAGCGAGAUGUGGCACCUGCCGCCGCUCGCGCGGCAGCAGAAGCUGGCCAAGGCGCCUCACGACGGCCUAUGGCAGCCGCUCCCGUGGGUGAAGUAGCACGGCACCGAGGUCUUCGGGAUGUAGAAGCUGUAGGCGUGCGCGGGCGUGUUGAAGAGGAGGUUGAGGCCGUGGUUCCUGGACGUCUACCAUUUGGAGUGGGAGGCGGAGGAGAGGGCGGGGCUGCAGCAGUUGGACGGCUGGUAGAAGUGGAGGGAGCCGGAGCUCAUGCUGCUGUUCCACGAGGGGAGGUAGCCCUUGCUCCACGAGUUCCGGCAGCAGCGGGUCAAGUUGCGGCUGGUCGAGGAGUGGCUGGCGGGGGUACACAGCCGCGAGCAGGCGCUGAGGGAGUAGUUUUCCCGGGCGCUCAAGUUGUAGUAUGAGCUGCUGCAGCGGUAGUGGGUGGAGAGGAUGCCGCGGCUGAAGAGGGUCCGGCAGCUCUUCUUCGUCCAGCGCGUCGUCCUCCGACUCGCGAGGUUCAAGGACCAGCGGUUCCGGCUCGUCCUCUCCGCGCGACGGUAGCACGCACGACUCCCUCUUUCACUCAGACGUGCCGAGUAAAGACUCCGGUGGCGGUAGCGACCCUGUCCCGACUAGCUCGAGUCCUCCUAGCUCCGACGGUUCCUCUAUCGGCGCCUCGACCGGGCGAGUGGGUUGCAACGGAUGUAGGGGAGACCACUGUUGCCGUUCUACGACGAGCCGGAGUUGCGACGACCUAAGCCGCCGGCCACUAAAUGGUGAGGACAAAAUGAACGGGUUUGUAGUAGAACGCAGUACUGCCUGAUUUUAUACCAAACCUCUCUGUUACUAUAGACAACGACAUCCUAGAAUAAUUCAAACUUACAGAACCCUGUUUUAGACCAUCAGAAAACUAGGUUUAUUCCAGACCUAGACCUAUAGAACGAAUACUAAACAGUCUAAUUCGAAAGACCACCACAACUUAAACGUACGAUCAAUGCAUGAAUACGAAUACAACAAACGAACAAACU